rnacentral:rRNA from 1 species
UACGUAGGGAGCAAGCGUUUGUCCGGAAUCAUUGGGCGUAAAGCGCGCGUAGGUGGCUUCAUAAGUCCGUUGUGAAAGUCAAAGGCUCCAACCUUUGAAUGUCGAUGGAUACUGCCGGGCUAGAGUCCGGAAGAGGCGAGUGGAAUUCCUGGUGUAGCGGUGGAAUGCGCAGAUAUCAGGAGGAACACCAAUAGCGAAGGCAGCUCGCUGGGACGGUACUGACGCUAAGGCGCGACAGCGUGGGGAGCAAACAGG